UUGAUCUCAGUAGAGUCAUGUUUUUAACUUGCCCUAUGUUUGACAGCCACACUUCAGGAUAGUCAGACAGGGCAGACGGGGAAUCUUCAGAAGAAGAUUGAGGGUCUUUACCUCAAUGUGAAACAGAGGAAACACUACCUCUACCGUUUGACAGGCUGCCAUAACCUGUCCGUUCCUGCUCUGAACUGCUCCGGGUGUCUGAGACAUUGGACAAUGGGGCUGUGCGAACCUGUAAAGAGUGGCUACUGGCCAGCCACCGUGACUCACCAGACCAUCUUCACAGUGGACCUCUUCAAGUCCUUUAAAGACAUGAAGGUGUUGGCCCCAGGAUUCUCCCGUCAAGCCUUUGUGGGAAUGCUUCAUGGAAGAACAAAGCACUUUGGCAGGAGUGGAAAGAUAUGUGGUGACACAUUCCAGAAGGCAUUUCUUGAGUGGAUUUACGACACGGAUUGAAAUAGACACGUUUUGUGUAAGCGAUCUCCUCCAUUGUCCUGCCUGGUUUGGAUGGGAAAGC